UACACGAUGUGAGUCUGCGAUUUCCGAAUGGGGAAACCCAACUGCAUAAGCAGUUACUGUUAACUGAAUACAUAGGUUAACAGAGCAAACCGGGGGAACUGAAACAUCUAAGUACCCCGAGGAGAAGAAAUCAACCGAGAUUCCGGUAGUAGCGGCGAGCGAACCUGGAUUAGCCCUUAAGCACUCGGUGAAGUAGGUGAACAAGCUGGAAAGCUUGGCGAUACAGGGUGAUAGCCCCGUAACCGACGCUUCAUCGAGCGUGAAAUCGAGUAGGGCGGGACACGUGAUAUCCUGUCUGAAUAUGGGGGGACCAUCCUCCAAGGCUAAAUACUCCUGACUGACCGAUAGUGAACCAGUACCGUGAGGGAAAGGCGAAAAGAACCCCUGUGAGGGGAGUGAAAUAGAACCUGAAACCGUGUACGUACAAGCAGUAGGAGCACCUUCGUGGUGUGACUGCGUACCUUUUGUAUAAUGGGUCAGCGACUUAUAUUCAGUGGCAAGGUUAACCGUAUAGGGGAGCCGUAGCGAAAGCGAGUCUUAACUGGGCGCUCAGUCUCUGGAUAUAGACCCGAAACCGGGUGAUCUAGCCAUGGGCAGGUUGAAGGUUGAGUAACAUCAACUGGAGGACCGAACCGACUAAUGUUGAAAAAUUAGCGGAUGACUUGUGGCUAGGGGUGAAAGGCCAAUCAAACUCGGAGAUAGCUGGUUCUCCCCGAAAGCUAUUUAGGUAGCGCCUCGGACGAAUACUACUGGGGGUAGAGCACUGUUAAGGCUAGGGGGUCAUCCCGACUUACCAACCCUUUGCAAACUCCGAAUACCAGUAAGUACUAUCCGGGAGACACACGGCGGGUGCUAACGUCCGUCGUGGAGAGGGAAACAACCCAGACCGCCAGCUAAGGUCCCAAAGUAUUGCUAAGUGGGAAACGAUGUGGGAAGGCUCAGACAGCUAGGAUGUUGGCUUAGAAGCAGCCAUCAUUUAAAGAAAGCGUAAUAGCUCACUAGUCGAGUCGGCCUGCGCGGAAGAUGUAACGGGGCUAAGCAAUACACCGAAGCUGCGGCAAUAUCUUUUAGAUAUUGGGUAGGGGAGCGUUCUGUAAGCCGUUGAAGGUGAAUCGUAAGGUUUGCUGGAGGUAUCAGAAGUGCGAAUGCUGACAUGAGUAACGACAAAGGGGGUGAAAAACCUCCUCGCCGGAAGACCAAGGGUUCCUGUCCAACGUUAAUCGGGGCAGGGUGAGUCGACCCCUAAGGUGAGGCCGAAAGGCGUAAUCGAUGGGAAACGGGUUAAUAUUCCCGUACUUCUGACUAUUGCGAUGGGGGGACGGAGAAGGCUAGGUGGGCCAGGCGACGGUUGUCCUGGUUCAAGUGCGUAGGCUUGAGAGUUAGGUAAAUCCGGCUCUCUCUAAGGCUGAGACACGACGUCGAGCUGCUACGGCAGUGAAGUCAUUGAUGCCAUGCUUCCAGGAAAAGCCUCUAAGCUUCAGAUAGUCAGGAAUCGUACCCCAAACCGACACAGGUGGUCGGGUAGAGAAUACCAAGGCGCUUGAGAGAACUCGGGUGAAGGAACUAGGCAAAAUGGUACCGUAACUUCGGGAGAAGGUACGCUCUUGAUGGUGAAGUCCCUCGCGGAUGGAGCUGACGAGAGUCGCAGAUACCAGGUGGCUGCAACUGUUUAUUAAAAACACAGCACUGUGCAAAAUCGCAAGAUGACGUAUACGGUGUGACGCCUGCCCGGUGCCGGAAGGUUAAUUGAUGGGGUUAGCGCAAGCGAAGCUCUUGAUCGAAGCCCCGGUAAACGGCGGCCGUAACUAUAACGGUCCUAAGGUAGCGAAAUUCCUUGUCGGGUAAGUUCCGACCUGCACGAAUGGCGUAAUGAUGGCCACGCUGUCUCCACCCGAGACUCAGUGAAAUUGAAAUCGCUGUGAAGAUGCAGUGUACCCGCGGCUAGACGGAAAGACCCCGUGAACCUUUACUACAGCUUGGCACUGAACAUUGAACCUACAUGUGUAGGAUAGGUGGGAGGCUAUGAAGACGUGACGCCAGUUGCGUUGGAGCCGUCCUUGAAAUACCACCCUUGUAUGUUUGAUGUUCUAACUUAGACCCGUUAUCCGGGUUGAGGACAGUGCCUGGUGGGUAGUUUGACUGGGGCGGUCUCCUCCCAAAGAGUAACGGAGGAGCACGAAGGUGGGCUAAUCACGGUUGGACAUCGUGAGGUUAGUGCAAUGGCAUAAGCCCGCUUAACUGCGAGAAUGACGGUUCGAGCAGGUGCGAAAGCAGGUCAUAGUGAUCCGGUGGUUCUGUAUGGAAGGGCCAUCGCUCAACGGAUAAAAGGUACUCCGGGGAUAACAGGCUGAUACCGCCCAAGAGUUCAUAUCGACGGCGGUGUUUGGCACCUCGAUGUCGGCUCAUCACAUCCUGGGGCUGAAGUCGGUCCCAAGGGUAUGGCUGUUCGCCAUUUAAAGUGGUACGCGAGCUGGGUUUAGAACGUCGUGAGACAGUUCGGUCCCUAUCUGCCGUGGGCGUUGGAAGAUUGAAGGGGGCUGCUCCUAGUACGAGAGGACCGGAGUGGACGAACCUCUGGUGUUCGGGUUGUGUCGCCAGACGCAUUGCCCGGUAGCUAAGUUCGGAAUUGAUAAGCGCUGAAAGCAUCUAAGCGCGAAGCGAGCCCUGAGAUGAGUCUUCCC
rnacentral:rRNA from 1 species